rnacentral:rRNA from 1 species
CACGUAGGGGGCAAGCGUUGUCCGGAUUUAUUGGGCGUAAAGAGCUCGUAGGCGGUCUGUCGCGUCUGCUGUGAAAACUCGGGGCUUAACCCCGGGCCUGCAGUGGGUACGGGCAGACUAGAGUGCGGUAGGGGAGACUGGAAUUCCUGGUGUAGCGGUGAAAUGCGCAGAUAUCAGGAGGAACACCGGUGGCGAAGGCGGGUCUCUGGGCCGUAACUGACGCUGAGGAGCGAAAGCAUGGGGAGCGAACAGG